UACGUAGGGUGCGAGCGUUGUCCGGAAUUAUUGGGCGUAAAGAGCUCGUAGGCGGUCUGUCGCGUCGAUCGUGAAAACUUGGGGCUUAACCCUGAGCUUGCGGUCGAUACGGGCAUGACUGGAGUUCGGCAGGGGAGACUGGAAUUCCUGGUGUAGCGGUGAAAUGCGCAGAUAUCAGGAGGAACACCGGUGGCGAAGGCGGGUCUCUGGGCCGAUACUGACGCUGAGGAGCGAAAGCGUGGGGAGCGAAUAGG
rnacentral:rRNA from 1 species